rnacentral:rRNA from 1 species
GCACCACAAGGGGUGAAGCCUGCGGUUCAAUUGGACUCAACGCCGGGAACCUUACCGGGAGCGACAGCAGAUUGAAGGUCAAGCUGAAGACUUUACCAGACGAGCUGAGAGGAGGUGCAUGGCCGUCGCCAGCUCGUGCCGUGAGGCGUCCUGUUAAGUCAGGCAACGAGCGAGACCCCUACUUCUAAUUGCUACCAGAUAUCGCAAGGUGUUUGGAGCUAGUUAGAAGGACUGCCGCCGCUAAGGCGGAGGAAGGAAGGGGCCACGGCAGGUCAGUAUGCCCCGAAACUCCCGGGCCACACGCGGGCUGCAAUGGUAAGGACAAUGGGUUCCCACCUCGAAAGAGAGAGGCAAUCCUCAAACCUUACCCCAGUUGUGGCUGAGGGCUGCAACCCGUCCUCACGAAUCUGGAAUCCCUAGUAACCGCGUGUCACCAUCACGCGGUGAAUACGUCCCUGCUCCUUGCACACACCGCCCGUCGCUUCACCGAAGUUGGACUAGGACGAGGUGGCGUCUUGUUGGCGCUAUCGAAUCUUAGUUCGGCAACGGGGGAG